CCUACGGGAGGCAGCAGUGAGGAAUAUUGGUCAAUGGGCGCGAGCCUGAACCAGCCAAGUCGCGUGAGGGAAGACGGUCCUACGGAUUGUAAACCUCUUUUGCCGGGGAGCAACGGGCGCCUCGCGUGGUCCCACUGAGAGUACCCGGAGAAAAAGCAUCGGCUAACUCCGUGCCAGCAGCCGCGGUAAUACGGAGGAUGCGAGCGUUAUCCGGAUUUAUUGGGUUUAAAGGGUGCGUAGGCGGGCUGCAAAGUCAGUGGUAAAAUGUCGGGGCUCAACCCCGGCCUGCCGUUGAAACUGGCUGUCUUGAGUGGGGGAGAAGUAUGCGGAAUGCGGGGUGUAGCGGUGAAAUGCAUAGAUAUAACGAAGAACUCCGAUGGCGAAGGCAGCUUACUGGAGCGUGACUGACGCUGAGGCGCGAAAGCGUGGGGAUCGAACAGGAUUAGAUACCCGAGUAGUC
rnacentral:rRNA from 1 species